UACGUAGGAUGCAAGCGUUGUCCGGAUUUACUGGGCGUAAAGCGCGCGCAGGCGGCUUCCCAAGCGCCACGUGAAAGCCCCGGGCUCAACCCGGGAGGGUCGCGGCGAACUGGGAGGCUUGAGGCCGGUAGAGGUGGGUGGAACUCCUGGUGGAGUGGUGAAAUGCGUAGAGAUCAGGAAGAACACCCGUGGCGAAGGCGGCCCACUGGGCCGGUGCUGACGCUGAGGCGCGAAGGCGUGGGGAGCGAACGGG
rnacentral:rRNA from 1 species